rnacentral:rRNA from 1 species
GUGGGGAAUAUUGGACAAUGGGCGAAAGCCUGAUCCAGCAAUGCCGCGUGAGUGAUGAAGGCCUUAGGGUUGUAAAGCUCUUUUACCCGGGAUGAUAAUGACAGUACCGGGAGAAUAAGCUCCGGCUAACUCCGUGCCAGCAGCCGCGGUAAUACGGAGGGAGCUAGCGUUGUUCGGAAUUACUGGGCGUAAAGCGCACGUAGGCGGCUUUGCAAGUUAGAGGUGAAAGCCCGGGGCUCAACUCCGGAAUUGCCUUUAAAACUGCAUCGCUUGAAUCCGGGAGAGGUGAGUGGAAUUCCGAGUGUAGAGGUGAAAUUCGUAGAUAUUCGGAAGAACACCAGUGGCGAAGGCGGCUCACUGGACCGGUAUUGACGCUGAGGUGCGAAAGCGUGGGGAGCAAACAGGAUUAGAAACCCCGGUAGUCC